rnacentral:rRNA from 1 species
CCAGACUCCUACGGGAGGCAGCAGUAGGGAAUCUUCCACAAUGGGCGAAAGCCUGAUGGAGCAACGCCGCGUGGGUGAAGAAGGUCUUCGGAUCGUAAAACCCUGUUGUUAGAGAAGAAAGUGCGUGAGAGUAACUGUUCACGUUUCGACGGUAUCUAACCAGAAAGCCACGGCUAACUACGUGCCAGCAGCCGCGGUAAUACGUAGGUGGCAAGCGUUAUCCGGAUUUAUUGGGUUUAAAGGGUGCGUAGGGGGACUUGUAAAGCAGGGGGAAAAGCCCGGGGGCCAACCCCGGGCGAGCCGUUGAAACUGGCUGUCUUGAGAUGUCGAGAGGUAUGCGGAAUGCGCAGUGUAGCGGUGAAAUGCUUAGAUAUUGCGCAGAACUCCGAUUGCGAAGGCAGCAUACCGGCGGCGAUCUGACGCUGAGGCACGAAAGCGUGGGUAUCGAACAGGAUUAGAUACCCGGGUAA